rnacentral:misc_RNA from 1 species
CGACAGGGCGCGUGCCGAUGGCGCAGCCGCCGGGCAACGACACCUUGGCUUCCUUCAUCCGCGCGAGCAGCGGCGCGAUCACCCAGAAGCUGGCGCGCAUCUUCGAGACCAGCUCAUAGGGAGCGGAUGAUGUUGGCCGCGGAAAUAUGCAGCGUCUGGCCCUGAUACUCAUGGUCGCCCGGGCGCUUGCCCUUCGACAUGAUGUCGAGGCCAUGAUUGCCGAGAAUGCGCUGAAGCUGCGCGACGUCGGCCAGGCGCGGCACGUUGUCGAGAAUCAGC